UGGGGAAUAUUGGACAAUGGGCGCAAGCCUGAUCCAGCAAUGCCGCGUGUGUGAAGAAGGCCUUCGGGUUGUAAAGCACUUUUAGUGGGGAAGAAAAAACCAAAGAUAAUACCUUUGGGAAUUGACGUUACCCACAGAAAAAGCACUGGCAAACUCUGUGCCAGCAGCCGCGGUAAUACAGAGAGUGCAAGCGUUAAUCGGAAUUACUGGGCGUAAAGCGCACGUAGGUGGACAAUUAAGUCGGAUGUGAAAUCCCUGGGCUCAACCUAGGAACUGCACCCGAUACUGGUUGUCUAGAGUAUAGUAGAGGGAAGUGGAAUUUCCGGUGUAGCGGUGAAAUGCGUAGAUAUCGGAAAGAACACCAGUGGCGAAGGCGGCUUCCUGGACUAAUACUGACACUGAGGUGCGAAAGCGUGGGGAGCAAACAGG
rnacentral:rRNA from 1 species